UACAGGUUUAUUUCUGGACUCUCAAUUCUACCCCAUUGGUCUAUAUAUCUAUCUUAAUGCCAGUACCACACUAUUUUGAUGACUGUAGCUUUGUGUUAAGUUUUGAAAUCAGAAGGUAUGAGUGCUUCAACUUUGUCCUCCUUUUUCAAAGACUGUUUUGGCUAUUCAGGGGCCCCCUAAAAUUCCACAUGAUUUGAUACUGACUUUUCCAUUUCUGCAGAAAGGCUGCUGAAAUUUGAUAGGGACUGCACUGAAUCCAAAGCUUGCUUUGAAGAGUACUGACAUCUUAUCAACAUGAAGUCUUCCAACCCAUGAACAUGCAACGUCUUUCCAUUUAUUUAGAUUGUUCAUUGCUGGUUGUUAAUAAGCACUUUAAAGGCAUUAGCUCACUGAAUUCUCGUAACAACACUAUGAGGGAUUAUACGUGCAGGACCUGAAAUCCUGGUGAGCUGUACACAGCAUCACUGUGAUUCGUAGCACACCAAGCCGCAGUGUAAAGCAACAGGGCACCACAUACAAACUCUGGUACAACUACUCGAGUCCGUUGCUGUCACAUGGCUGUACAAAAAUAGCCCAUGGACAACACCAGCCGUAUGAGAAAGAAACUGACCUUUCAAGUUUCCUGCCUUUUGAAAGCCAAACAGAUUUGAUCAAUGAACUUGGUGUCUUCAUUUUAAGAAAGAAGAGUCCCACUAAAAUUU